rnacentral:rRNA from 1 species
UCAGGCCUAACACAUGCAAGUCGAACGGGGUGCCCACCUUCGGGUGGAACACCUAGUGGCGAACGGGUGAGUAACGCGUGGGGACCUACCCUUCGGUUCGGAAUAACUACGGGAAACCGUAGCUAAUACCGGAUAAGCCCUUCGGGGGAAAGAUUUAUCGCCGAUGGAUGGACCCGCGACCGAUUAGGUUGUUGGUGAGGUGACGGCUCACCAAGCCCGCGAUCGGUAGCUGGUCUGAGAGGAUGAUCAGCCACACUGGGACUGAGACACGGCCCAGACUCCUACGGGAGGCAGCAGUGGGGAAUCUUGGACAAUGGGCGCAAGCCUGAUCCAGCCAUGCCGCGUGAGUGAAGAAGGCCUUCGGGUUGUAAAACUCUUUCACCGGUGAAGAUAAUGACGGUAGCCGGAGAAGAAGCCCCGGCUAACUCCGUGCCAGCAGCCGCGGUAAUACGGAGGGGGCUAGCGUUGUUCGGAAUUACUGGGCGUAAAGCGCGCGUAGGCGGUUUGACAAGUUGGGCGUGAAAGCCCGGGGCUCAACCCCGGAUGUGCGCCCAAAACUGUCAGACUAGAGGCCGAGAGAGGGUGGCGGAAUUCCCAGUGUAGAGGUGAAAUUCGUAGAUAUUGGGAAGAACACCAGUGGCGAAGGCGGCC